AUGUUUGUGUGUCUGUAGUAGAGUAUUCAUAAGUCCCUUUAAAGCGCGCGGGUGAGGACCCACAGCCAGGAACCCGUUUAAUAUCGGGGCUGCUCUAUAACAGAGACCUUCAGCUGCCCAGGACUUAGGCUGAGACUGAGGAAGCCUGCAGUGAUCGUCCUCGCUGGAUGAGAUUCAAGCCUAAAGAUAGCCCUUGGGGAAGGGGAGGUGUGCCCUUUAACAAGCGCAGAAAAUUGCACAAAUAUACACAGUCUGUACAGUAUAGGGAGUUUAUGAACCUGAGUGAAGAAACCCUGGUUUCUCCUAGUCUCCCUUGAUGGAAUGUUCACAGAGGAAGAGAUUUGGGCUGCUCUGUUAAAGAAACAAGGAGCUGUUGAGAUCUGUGUGGAGCCAUGAAGCUGUCGUCACAGAGUUGCUGUUCCUUCUUACCCCUUGAGGGAGACAUGUCAGUAUAGGGAGUACCCAGAGAAAUGCUCUUUUCUUGGACCCCAGUGGAUGGGGAACUGGACUGGGAAGGAUUAAGUGACUUGCCGAAAACCACAGUUUCUGUUAGUGGUGGUAGGGAUGUUUGGUGCUGAAAUUCAAAUCUCUGAUUUCUAAAGACACGCCAUGCUUUCUUUAAAUAAAAAAAAAAAAAAUUAGG